rnacentral:rRNA from 1 species
UACAGAGGUCUCAAGCGUUGUUCGGAUUCAUUGGGCGUAAAGGGUGCGUAGGCGGCGCGGUAAGUCGGGUGUGAAAUCUCGGAGCUUAACUCCGAAACUGCAUUCGAUACUCGCCGUGCUUGAGGACUGGAGAGGAGACUGGAAUUUACGGUGUAGCGGUGAAAUGCGUAGAUAUCGUAAGGAAGACCAGGUGGCGAAGGCGGGUCUCUGGACGUUC